rnacentral:lncRNA from 10 species
AAUUAUAGACCAAUAUGGCUCUUGAAUUUGUUCAGAUCCCGUAUUGGAAACAGAAGAGUUAGUGAUUGGGUUUCUUAAAAAUUCCGUGAAGGACACUCAAGUUUGCCCUUGUCCAGGCACCACGAUUUGUCACCAAAAAGCUAGAUUUGUUUUAGUCUUUUGCAACCAGGGUUAUCUUGGCUUGUUUAUGAUGAAAUCAUUUUUCACAAAGUCUAAAGAAUGUUGGUUGUCAAAAUAUACGGUUUCUGUGGUGCCCCAUAUCUGCCCCAUUUCUCUGCGCCUGCGGUCUGGUUACUCCCUUAUGAAAGUGCAUAGAAUCCCCUCUUCCCUGUUCCCCACUUUGCGAGAGAUCUAUUGGGAGCUAGUGGGAGUUUUUCAUUUUUAACACUGGGCAUUUCUAUAAAUUCAUAUUUCUGCAUCUCCUUAUUUUGUUAGGGAGUGAUGUAUGGUCCAUCCUCAUCAUUUAUGAAUUCUGUAGUUGCAAAUUUGCCUGCCAGACGACAUUUAUUUUUUUUUCUCCCCCAUCAAUGCUGGUGGUGCUUUUGCAGUCAGUUAUGGACAUGAACAGAGCGGUCAGAAAUUUGAGUCUCCUGAUACGAAGUUGCCCAUCUGAGGUUAAACAAGGCAA